rnacentral:rRNA from 1 species
AUUGAACGCUGGCGGCAGGCCUAACACAUGCAAGUCGAGCGGAGCGGCGGACGGGUGAGUAACGCGUAGGUAACUGCCUCAUAGCGGGGGAUAACUAUUGGACACGAUAGCUAAUACCGCAUACUGUGAGAUGGACCUGCGUUGUAUUAGCUAUUUGGUUAGGUAAAGGCUCACCAAGGCGACGAUACAUAGCCGACCUGAGAAGCUGAACGGCAACCCUGGAACUGAGACACGGCCCAGACCCCUACUGGAGGCAGCAGUAGGGAAUCUUGGGAAAUGGACGGAGGUGUGACCGAGCAACGCCGCGGGAGUGAAGAAGGUUUGCGGAUCGUAGAGCUCAGUUGUUGGAGAAGCGGUAACUAACCAGAAUGGCACGGCUAACUACGUGCCGGCAGCCGCGGUAAUAC